rnacentral:rRNA from 1 species
UGAGCAACCUGCCCUGGACUCUGGGAUAACCCCGAGAAAUCGGAGCUAAUACCGGAUAGGACCUGGAACCGCAUGGUUUGGGUGGAAAGUUUUCGGCCUGGGAUGGGCUCGCGGCCUAUCAGCUUGUUGGUGAGGUAAUGGCUCACCAAGGCGACGACGGGUAGCCGGCCUGAGAGGAUGACCAGCCACAUUGGGACUGAGACACGGCCCAGACUCCUACGGGAGGCAG